rnacentral:rRNA from 1 species
CACGUAGGGCGCAAGCGUUGUCCGGAAUUAUUGGGCGUAAAGAGCUCGUAGGUGGUUUGUUACGUCUGCUGUGAAAUCCUAGGGCUUAACCCUGGGCUUGCAGUGGAUACGGGCAGACUAGAGGUAGGUAGGGGAGAAUGGAAUUCCUGGUGUAGCGGUGAAAUGCGCAGAUAUCAGGAGGAACACCGGUGGCGAAGGCGGCUCACUGGCCAUGUACUGACACUGAAACACGAAAGCGUGGGGAGCAAACAGG